CAGAAACCAUGUGUCAAGCUCGGAUUGCCUUAGACAGGUGCAAUUUAAGAACAGCUUUCAUCCUCUUUUCUCUCAUAUUGUCACACUAUGUGUUCUGACUUCUGGCUCCUUUCCUCACAAGAAGCUCACCCAGCUGGAACUCUUAUGGGACCUUGGCACCAGAGACCACAAAUUCCUCUUUGAAGUUUUCUAACAGCAACAAUGGUAUUUCUGACUUGGCUUUCUUGUAUUUCUCUCACGUUAACAAAAUUGGUUCAGCAUCUACCAUGGGCUACAUGCUGAGCUACAGAGUUUCGCUCUGUCGCCCAGGCUGGAGUGCAGUGGCGCGCGAUCUCGGUUCACUGCAAGCUCCACCUCCCGGGUUCACGCCAUUCUCCUGCCUCAGCCUCCUGAGUAGCUGGGACUACAGGCGCCCGCCACCACACCCAGGAAUCCAACUUGCUGUUUGCUAUCACAUGUGCUAUACAUGCUGUUGAUGAAACUGCUAAAGGGGCUGAAUGUGACUGACGUCUUUGGAAGGAUGAGACUUAGCGUGCCUGUACAGUUGUGUCCAAAUGCUGUCCUCAUCUCCCAAUGAAAAGAUACAUGAAAAGAAAGAAGGAGAGAAGGAAGAAAGGAGGGCGGAAGGAAAGGAAGAAGGGAGAGAAGAAGAGAAGAAAGAAGCAGAGAAAGGAAGAGAAAAGAAAUUACGGCCAGUGCGGUGGCUCACGCCUGUAAUCCUAGCACUUUGGGAGGCCUAAGCGGGCUGAUCACCUGAGGUCAGGAGUUCGUAAGCCAGCCUGGCCAACAUGGUGAAACCCUAUCUCUACUAAAAAUACAAAAAUCAGCAGGGCAUGGUGGUGCGUGCCUGUAAUCCCAGCUACCUGGGAGGCUGAGGUAGGAGAAUCGCUGGAACCCGAGAGGCGGAGGCUGCAGUGAGUUGAGAUCAUGUCACUGCACUCCAGGCUGGGCAACAGAGUGAGACUCUGUCUCAGAAAAAAAAAAAAAGAAAGAAAGAAAGAAAGAAAGUUACCAUUAGUUUUUUGUUGUAUUUGCAAGCAAAGACAAAAGCACCAAGGUACUUGUUUCCUUCUGUAAUUAGAGUUUCAAAUAGACUAAAAGUUUCUGCUCUUAGGUGGGUCUAGAGACUCUCCAGUACCUCAGGACCUCAGGACACAUGGGGUCUCUUGGUUGUUUUCUUUUCAUUGUUGUUGUUUAUUUUAUUUUUGUUUUUAUUUUUUAACUUUAAAACAAUUUUUUGUAGAUGAAUAUGCUUACAUAUGUUUGGGGGUUUUUUUGAGACAGGGUCUUGCUCUGUUGCCCAGGCUGGAGAGCGGUGGUUUAACCACAGCUCACUGCAGCCUCGACCUCCCAAGGUAGGGACUGCAGGUGUGUACACUGGGGUGCACCACCACACCCAGCUAAUUUUUAAAUUUUUUUUUGUAGAUAUUGUCUCACUCUGUUGGCCAGACUGGUCUUGAAAUCCUGGGCUCGAGCAAUUCUCCUGCCUCGGCCUCGUAACGCGUUAGGAUUACAAGCGUGAACACCGCACCUGGCCAGCAUGUGGUCUCUUAACCAGAGGAGGCCUCUUCUGAACUAGGUAGAGGUCCUGAGAAUUGAUUCUGAGAGUAAAAGGCUCUUUGUUCUCCUCAGAGUAGAUUAGAAUCCCUAAUGAUAGAGCAUCUAUUAUUCCUCUAGUGGUCCAUGCCCAACAGAUUCAUCCAAGAAUAGAUGAAGAUCUUUGUAAUGUUGUGCAAGUAAUCUAAUCACCCCACAGAAGAGCUGUGACUUAAAUUAUCCCAGAGUCGGCCCACCUGUUUUCAUAAAGAUCAAUGUAACUUGUAAAUUUCUUCAGUUCUCCUCACCUAUCAUCAUUUGACUAACAAAACCCAGAAAACUAGGCUAGUUAUGGUGGCCUAUGCAUAUAAUCCCAACUCUUUGAGAGGCCAGGGUGGGUGGAUUGCUUGAGUCCAGGAAUUCGAGACCAGCCUGGGCAACAAAGGGAGACCCUGCCUAUAUCCCAGCUAUGCAGGAGGCGAGGCCAGAGGAUUGCCUGAGCCUCAGAGGUUGAGGCUGUAGUGAGCCAUGAUUGCCCCACUACACUCCAGCCUGGAUGACAGAGUGAGACCCUGCCUUAAAAAUAAUAAUAAUAGUAAUAAUAUUUCAUAAAGAUACAGGAAACUAGAUUAUAAUUGACAUUUUCAAAGUGAAAUACUGUCUAGAAUGGUGCUUGGCCAACAGUAAGCUUUUUGUAAGUGGAAGUCAUUACUACUACUAUUUCUUUCAUUAUUAUUACCAUUACUACUUUUUUUUACAAAAAAAAAACCCUGGACAACACACUGAAACCAUUACUACUUCUACUACUAUAACUUAGGUUGCACCUGAUAGAGCCAGCAAUUUUUCCAAGGUAUGACAAUGGCCAUAUGUUUAAUGAUAUAAUUCUAUGGCUCAGUGUAUCUCAGCCUUUUUAAACCCUGCUCUUCUUUUGACAAUUGUAAAAAUCUUAAACUGACCUCCAGUUGAAAUCCUCUGUCAAGAAGAUAUUGUCGGCCAGGGGCGGUGGCUCACACCUGUAAUCCCAGCACUUUUGGAGGCCGAGGUGGGAGGAUCACUUGAGGUUAGGAGUUCAAGACCAGCCUGGCCAACAUAGUGAAACCCCAUCUCUACUAAAAAUACAAAAAUUAGGCAGGCAUGGUGGUGUGUGCCUGUAAUCCCAGCUACUCAGGAGGCUGAGGUAGGAGAAUUGCUUGAACCUGGCAGGGCAGAGGUUGCAGCAAGCCGAGAUCACGCCACUGCUCUCCAGCCUGGGUGAGACUGUCUCAAAAAAAAAAAAAAAAAAGAAAGAAAGUAAGAAAAAGAAGAAAUCCCAAUCUCUUCUUUUAUGUGGAUUCUUCCUCACUUGAAUAAUACUUUUCUUCCCCAGUAUUCUCCAUAUUAUCCCAGAGUCAGCCCCUCUGUUUUUGUAAAGAUCUACGUAACCUCCUCUAAGUUUCCCAGUUCUCCUCACCUAUCAUAUCAUUUGGCUCAACAAAGGGCAGGAAGCUAGAUUCUAAUUGAUAUUUUGAGGCCGGGAGCAGUGGCUCAUGCCUGUAAUCACAGCACUUUGGGAGGCUGAGGCGGGCAGAUCACUGGAGGUCAGGAGUUCGAGACCAGCCUGGCCAAUAUGGUGAAACCUCGUCUCUACUAAAAAUACAAAAAAUUAGCCAGGCUUGGUGGCUUGUACCUGUAAUCCCAGCUACUCAGGAGGCUGAGGCAGGAGAAUAGCUUAAACCUGGGAGGAAGAGGUUGCAGUGAGCCGAGAUUGCUCAAUUGCACCCCAGCCUGGGUGACAGAGCAAAACUCCAUCUCAAAAACAAACAAACGAACAAACCUGAUAUUUUCAAAAUUGAGGCAAUUAUAACAGCUAUUUAGCCAAGCAUUAUGAUAGCAAUAAUAGCAAGAAAAUAAAUUAGUUAACAAAUGAGUCUCAGAAGCCCAAUGAUUUUUAUUUUAUUUUUAUUUUUUGAACUUUUAUUUUAGAAUCAGGGGAUACAUGUGCAGGUUUGUUACCCGGGUAUAUUGCAUGAUGCUGAGUUUUGGAGUAUGCAUGAAUCCAACCUGUCAUCCAGGUAGUGAGUAUAGUACCCAACAGAUAGUUUUUUUAACAUUUACUUCACUCCCUUCCCCAAUCUUGUAUUCCCCUGUGUCUACUGUUCCCAUUUUUAUGACUGUGCCAACAAUAAUUUUUUUUCUUUUUUCUUUAAAUAGAGAUGGGGGUCUCUAUUUAAAGAGCCUCCCAAAGUGCUAGGAUUACAGGUGUGAUCCAUUGCACCUGGCCCAUGCCAACAAUAUUUGAAACCCUUAUCUGCGUGUACAAGUUUGCUACUGGUUUUGUUUUGCUC
rnacentral:lncRNA from 1 species